GGGAAGGUCCAUGACUCAAUGGCAGAGCGCUUGCUUUUAUGCAAAAAGACCCAAGGUUCAAUCCCUUGUGGUCUCC